rnacentral:tRNA from 1 species
AGUUGGCUCAGUGGUUGGAGCUUAGGCCUCGCAAACGAAAGGUCGCGGGAUCGAAUACCGCUGGAGACUG